UACAGGGGGUGCAAACGUUGCUCGGAAUCAUUGGGCGUAAAGCGCACGUAGGCGGUCUGUUAUGUCGGAUGUGAAAGCCCUUGGCUUAACUGAGGAAGUGCAUCCGAAACUGGCAGGCUAGAGUACUAAAGAGGGUCGCGGAAUUCCCGGUGUAGAGGUGAAAUUCGUAGAUAUCGGGAGGAACACCGGUGGCGAAGGCGGCGACCUGGGUAGAUACUGACGCUGAGGUGCG
rnacentral:rRNA from 1 species